rnacentral:ribozyme from 1 species
UGUUUAGUAACUCCUAUCCCUACCUCCCCGUGGUGCCGCCUGGGAUACGAGUAACCGUAGGACGGGUAACCAACCCUACUGGGACCUUCGUCGUAUGCUGACAGGGAAGG